AAAAGAAAGCAAGUCAAUCAUUAGUCCGGAGCACUAACCUCCUCAAGAAGUUGCCCAGCAGAGAGGGAUAAUCCAACUUCCAAGUGAAGUUCUUUUACGAGUACUCGCUUAAAUACAAGUUAGAUCAUCCUAUUUUUCAUCCAUUCCAUUGAGAAAUUACUAAAGAUUUUUGAAACAUGGCAAUAGCACCACCAUCCUCACCCUUCAAUCUUUUCUCUGUAAAUGAUCAAACCCAUAUCCCAUCUUUCUUCAAUAUAACUGAUGAUGGAGAUGAGUCUCAGGUUCAGCUGCUGCUGGAUGCUGCAUUUGCAGAAGAACUACAGUUCCAAGAGGUUCUGAAGGCCUCUCUGUCCAGUUGUCAAAUGCCAUCACUUCAUGUUGCAGAAAAAGGUGAAUCAUCUUUAAGUUCCUGUGAAAUUUGCUGGGAGAGGAAAGAAGAUGAGCAGCUGAUCAAGAAUGGGGCGUGUUCUCAUUCAUUUUGUCCGGACUGUAUGAGCAAGUAUUUGGAGGUAAAGAUCAGAAAGGGCAUCACAAUUGUUACCUGUCCUGGAAUAAACUGUGAGUGUGUCCUAAUGUUGGACAACUUUAAGCAUUUGCUCUCCAAGGACGUAACCAAUCUGUUGGAAAUAGCAUCGCCGUCUACGGAGCUGAUUCCAGAUGUUACUUGCAGCAGCAAGGAAUUGCAAGUGAAGACAAAUUUAGAACAAAGUAAUAGAAAGUGUUUCACCGCUAGAAGGAUCAGCCACGCUAAUUGGGUACCAGCUGAUAGCAAGCAGAUAGUUCUCGGAAAGAAACGCCAGGAGCCAGCUGAGAGAAAUACUAUGGAGGAUUUUAUUUUGCAGCCUAAGAAGUUCCAAUCAGCCAUGAAUUACAGCUGCAAUUCUCAGUCUAGAUUCUCUCUCUGGGAACGAAAUGAAGGGCCUAAAUCAGUUUACAAGCAUUUGAAGAACAUGGCUUCACUAACCACCGGUUCUACUCCAUGCAGGAGUAGCCCAGAAAAAGUUGCAGAUGAUGUAAAGUACAUACCUGCUUUUGAUGCUACUGCUGCUGCCGCUAAUGAUGAUGAUAUGGGUGACAGUGACUCUGAUGUGUUCCCUGAUACCGAUAGCUACGAUUCAGAAGCAAGUCCAAGGAGCUCUGAGACUUGCAAGAAGAGCAAAUGGUUCAAGAAAUUUGUUAACGGAUUGGAUGAUCUAAGCAUUGAGGAGACCAAAGACCUAGUCAGACAAUGGCACUGUCCAGCAUGCCAAGGAGGUGCUGGUGCCAUCAAACGGUACCUAGGCGUGCAGACCCUGAUCCAGCAUGCAAAAGCCAAAGGGUCAACGAGGAUGAGGCUCCAUCGAGAGCUUGCACAACUGUUGGAAGAGAAAUUGCGUGGUGAUCAGGCAACUUCUGUUACUCCAUACAGGAUUGCAUGUGCUAAAUGGAAAGGUCUGAAAGAAGAGCAGAAGGAUCAUGAGAUAGUUUGGCCUCCUAUGGUUUUCAUUACCAAUACAAUCCACAAAAAGGAUGAGAACAACAAGUGGAUUGGCAUGACAACCGAAGAGCUGCUAGACAUGUUCAGAUCAUAUGAUGCCAUUGUCAAGGCUCAGCACGCUUACAAUUGGAAGGGGCAUUGCGGAAUGAGCAUCUUGAUUUUUGAGAGCUCAGCAAAGGGUUAUUUAGAGGCAGAACGAUUGCACAAUCAUUUUGCAGAGGAAGGAACAGAUAGAAAUGCUUGGCACAGUCGGCCAGUCUACUUCCUUCCUGGCGGAGAGCGACAACUUUAUGGUUACAUGGCAGUGAAACAAGACGUGGAUCUCUUCAACAGGAAUGCAGGUAGGACUAAGCUGAAAUAUGAGAUGAGAUCAUAUCAAGAAAUGGUUGUGAACAGAAUCAGGCAAAUGACUGAAGACAACCAUCAGCUUUUGUGGUUGAAGAACAGAGUUGCUGAGCUACAAAGACAGACAAAUGUUCUUGAAGAAUCCAAUUAUGGGUUAAAGGAGAAGCUGUGUAAGGCAGCAAAGGAAAUGGACAUUUUGAGACUGAAAUCCAACCAGCAGUAUGAGCAGAGUAUGGAGGAGUUGGAAUUCCAAGAGCAAUUCUACAAGGAGCAAAUCAGAAGUAUUCUUGAAGCAAGAAAAGGGAAAGAAGAAGAUUUGGAGAAUACAGAUCAAGAAAAUAUGCAGCAGUCAAAUGCAAAAUCUUCAGACAGAAACGAUAACAAAUACAUCUCUGUUCUGUUUGCAGGAAGGAGGAAAUUAGAAAACCUACAGAGAAUCAAGCCAUAGAAAAGGAAGGAGUGUCUGAAAGCAGUAAUAAGCUAAUAAUUCAAGAAGAGGAUAAGGGAAAUCGAACUCUGAGGAAAGUAAAAAUGUUCGACACAGUGAUGAGAAGGAGACUACUCCAAACUAAGCCAGUUCCUGGAGGUGCAGAACUUCCUGACAUUUUGGAGCAGUCAAGUUUCUAUCCUCUACACAUAAAUGAUUACAAUGGAAGAGAGGAGCAAAUUACAAAACCCAUGAAGAAUCAAGAAAUGGAAAAAACGAAGAGCAGAGAGUGUGGAAAGCAUGGUGAUGAGGAGGAGACUCAAAGCUAAGCUAGAAACUAGAAAGUGAUCAGGCAGAUGAGGAAGCACAUCCUCACUGAAAAACCCCACUUUUAAACUGCUAGAUUGCUAAGAUAGUAUAAAAUGUGGUAAUUAAUUCCUAUAUAUGUGUUUAUAACAUGUUCUUUUCCCUGAUUGGGUGUUCAGCUGAAGAUUUGUUUAUUUAGUGAAAUUCUGUUCAAGUUAUUGAUAUGUAUAUGAAUUUGAAUAAAGUGUUCGAAUCUUGUAGCCA